GGCGGCGUGGAUUAGGCAUGCAAGUCGAGCGGAAAGGCUCCUUCGGGAGCACUCGAGCGGCGCAAGGGAGAGUAACGCGUGGAAAUUUGCCCUUAGGCCUGGGAUAGCGGUGGGAAACUGCCGGUAAUACCAGAUAAUAUCUUCGGAUCAAAGGUGUGAUUCCGUCUAAGGAGAAUUCCGCGUCCUAUUAGCUUGUUGGUGAGGUAACGGCUCACCAAGGCGAAGAUGGGUACCGGGUGUGAGAGCAUGACCCGGCUCACUGGGACUGAGACACUGCCCAGACACCUACGGGUGGCUGCAGUCGAGAAUCUUCGGCAAUGGGCGAAAGCCUGACCGAGCGACGCCGCGUGCGGGAUGAAUGCCUUCGGGUUGUAAACCGCUGUCAGAGGGGAGGAAGUGUAUGAGGGGAACGGAGCUUGACUCAUCCUCAGAGGAAGUCCGGGCUAAGUUCGUGCCAGCAGCCGCGGUAAGACGAACCGGACAAACGUUAUUCGGAAUUACUGGGCUUAAAGAGUGCGUAGGCGGCAAGGCAAGUUGGGUGUGAAAUCCCUCGGCUCAACCGAGGAACUGCGCCCAAUACUGCUAGGCUUGAGGGAGACAGAGGUGAGCGGAACUUGCAGUGGAGCGGUGAAAUGCGUUGAUAUCGCAAGGAACACCUGUGGCGAAAGCGGCUCACUGGGUCUCUUCUGACGCUGAGGCACGAAAGCUGGGGGAGCGAACGGGAUUAGAUACCCCGGUAGUCCUAGCUGUAAACGAUGAGCACUAGAUCGGAGGGUCCUCCAUAGCCUUCCGGUCGUAGCGAAAGUGUUAAGAGCGCCGCCUGGGGAGUACGGCCGCAAGGCUAAAACUCAAAGGAAUUGACGGGGGCUCACACAAGCGGUGGAGGAUGUGGCUUAAUUCGAGGCUACGCGAAGAACCUUAUCCUGGUCUUGACAUGGUUGAGAAUCCUGUCGAAAGGCAGGAGUGCCCUUCGGGGAGCUCUUUCACAGGUGCUGCAUGGCUGUCGUCAGCUCGUGUCGUGAGAUGUCGGGUUAAGUCCCUUAACGAGCGAAACCCUUAUCGUUAGUUGCCAGCGGGUCAUGCCGGGGACUCUAGCGAGACUGCCGGUGUUAAACCGGAGGAAGGUGGGGAUGACGUCAAGUCCUCAUGGCCUUUAUGCCCAGGGCCUCACACGUGCUACAAUGGCGAUCACAGAGCGACGCAAACGCGCGAGAGCAAGCAAACCCCAAAAAUCACGCCCCAGUUCGAAUUGCAGGCUG
rnacentral:rRNA from 1 species